rnacentral:rRNA from 1 species
UAUCCGGUAGAAUCGGAUGUCGCCUGUUUUAUCAAAAACAUCGCCUCUUGCUAAACCAAAAGUAUAAGAGGUCCCGCCUGCCCUGUGACUAUAUGUUUAACGGCCGCGGUAUUUUGACCGUGCGAAGGUAGCGCAAUCACUUGUCUUUUAAAUAGGGACCUGUAUGAAUGGCAUAACGAGGGCUUGACUGUCUCCUCUUUCAAGUCAAUGAAAUUGAUCUCCCCGUGCAGAAGCGGGGAUAAAUACAUAAGACGAGAAGACCCUAUGGAGCUUUAGACACUAAAGCAGAUCAGCAUUAAUACCCCACACACGGGAUUCGAAUAAACUGACCCCUGCCCUAAUGUCUUCGGUUGGGGCGACCGCGGAGAAAUAUAAAACCCCCGCAAGGACUGAAUGUACCACAUUCACAACCAAGAGUGACAGCUCUAAUUAACAGAAUUUCUGACCAAUAAGAUCCGGCAAUGCCGAUCAAUGGACCAAGUUACCCUAGGGAUAACAGCGCAAUCUCCUCUUAGAGCCCAUAUCGACGAGGAGGUUUACGACCUCGAUGUUGGAUCAGGACAUCCUAAUGGUGCAGCCGCUAUUAAGGGUUCGUGUCAA